rnacentral:rRNA from 1 species
UACAGAGACUGCAAGCGUUAUUCGGAUUCACUGGGCGUAAAGGGUGCGCAGGCGGCCGAGUGUGUGAGGCGUGAAAGCCCGGGGCUUAACCCCGGAAUUGCACCUCAAACUACACGGCUAGAGCAUUGGAGAGGUAGCAGAAUUCAUGGUGUAGCAGUGAAAUGCGUAGAUAUCAUGAGGAAUACCAGAGGCGAAGGCGGCUACCUGGACAAUUGCUGACGCUCAGGCACGAAAGCGUGGGGAGCAAAAGGG